GACGAACGCUGGCGGCGUGCUUAACACAUGCCAGUCGAACGGAAAGGCCCUGCUUUUGUGGGGUGCUCGAGUGGCGAACGGGUGAGUAACACGUGAGUAACCUGCCCUUGACUUUGGGAUAACUUCAGGAAACUGGGGCUAAUACCGGAUAGGAGCUCCUGCUGCAGGGUGGGGGUUGGAAAGUUUCGGCGGUUGGGGAUGGACUCGCGGCUUAUCAGCUUGUUGGUGGGGUAGUGGCUUACCAAGGCUUUGACGGGUAGCCGGCCUGGGAGGGUGACCGGCCACAUUGGGACUGAGAUACGGCCCAGACUCCUACGGGAGGCAGCAGUGGGGAAUAUUGCACAAUGGGCGGAAGCCUGAUGCAGCAACGCCGCGUGCGGGAUGACGGCCUUCGGGUUGUAAACCGCUUUCGCCUGUGACGAAGCGUGAGUGACGGUAAUGGGUAAAGAAGCACCGGCUAACUACGUG
rnacentral:rRNA from 1 species